rnacentral:rRNA from 1 species
AGCGAACGCUGGCGGCAGGCUUAACACAUGCAAGUCGAACGGGCGUAGCAAUACGUCAGUGGCAGACGGGUGAGUAACACGUGGGAACGUACCUUUUGGUUCGGAACAACUGAGGGAAACUUCAGCUAAUACCGGAUAAGCCCUUACGGGGAAAGAUUUAUCGCCGAAAGAUCGGCCCGCGUCUGAUUAGCUUGUUGGUGAGGUAACGGCUCACCAAGGCGACGAUCAGUAGCUGGUCUGAGAGGAUGAUCAGCCACACUGGGACUGAGACACGGCCCAGACUCCUACGGGAGGCAGCAGUGGGGAAUAUUGGACAAUGGGGGAAACCCUGAUCCAGCCAUGCCGCGUGAGUGAUGAAGGCCCUAGGGUUGUAAAGCUCUUUUGUGCGGGAAGAUAAUGACGGUACCGCAAGAAUAAGCCCCGGCUAACUUCGUGC